rnacentral:rRNA from 2 species
UGUGGUGGCGAUAGCGAGAAGGAUACACCUGUUCCCAUGCCGAACACAGAAGUUAAGCUUCUUAGCG